UACAGAGGGUGCAAGCGUUGUUCGGAAUUAUUGGGCGUAAAGGGCGCGUAGGCGGUGCGGUAAGUCUGUAGUGAAAUCUCUGGGCUCAACUCAGAGUCUGCUGCAGAAACUGCCGUGCUUGAGUGUGGGAGAGGUGAGUGGAAUUCCCGGUGUAGCGGUGAAAUGCGUAGAGAUCCGGAGGAACACCAGUGGCGAAGGCGGCUCGCUGGGCUCUACCUGACGCUGAGGCGCGAAAGCGUGGGGAGCGAACCGG
rnacentral:rRNA from 1 species